UACGGAGGGUGCAAGCGUUGUCCGGAAUCACUGGGCGUAAAGGGCGCGUAGGCGGCUCAUGAAGGCUGUGGUGAAAGUCCGGGGCUCAACCUCGGAUCGGCCGUGGCGACUCGUGGGCUGGAGCACUGUAGAGGCGGGUGGAAUUCCGGGUGUAGCGGUGGAAUGCGUAGAGAUCCGGAAGAACACCAGUGGCGAAGGCGGCCCGCUGGGCAGUGGCUGACGCUGAGGAGCGAAAGCUAGGGGAGCAAACGGG
rnacentral:rRNA from 1 species